UACGAAGGGGGCUAGCGUUGCUCGGAAUCACUGGGCGUAAAGAGCUUGUAGGCGGUUUGUCGCGUCUGCUGUGAAAUUUCGGGGCUCAACCCCGAACUUGCAGUGGGUACGGGCAGACUAGAGUGUGGUAGGGGAGACUGGAAUUCCUGGUGUAGCGGUGAAAUGCGCAGAUAUCAGGAGGAACACCGAUGGCGAAGGCAGGUCUCUGGGCCAUAACUGACGCUGAGAAGCGAAAGCAUGGGGAGCGAACAGG
rnacentral:rRNA from 1 species